UCACCAAUUUUUUUUACACCUCAUACAGUGCCCUCCCUAAUGUUUGAGGCAAAGGCCCAUCAUUUAUUUGCCUCUGUACUCCACAAUUUGAGAUUUGUAAUAGAAAAAAAAA